UUAACCACCAAAAAAGCCAGAUGUAGAGCAGAAGAGCUGCUAGAACGCCAGCCUUGAGGUUAAAAAAAAAAAAAAAAAGCUGAGAUAGUACCCAAACUCUGAGUUCAAAUCCUAGUCCUUGGGGGGCGGGGUGGGAAUCACCUCUCUAUCUCUUAUCCCUACUACUUAGAGAACUAAAAGAUUAUAGACAAACUAGAGUUCUAACUACAGACAAAUGGCUCAAGUAAUUGCAACAUGUCUAUAUAACACAAUCAAGUUAAAUUUUUCAGUGGGUUUUACAGAUAUGCAUGUGUGUGUGCAUUUGUACGUGUGUGUACACAUUCUCAAGGGUGUGGGCCUAACACUAAUCCUGGAAGGAAACAUAGUAAGUAAUAACAGUGGCUAUCACAGACAACAGAUGGGGAAAGUAGAGAAAAUGACACAUUUUCAUUUCCUAUUUUUCUGUAAGAUAAAAACAUGAUCUUCUGAAUUGCUUUGAAAACUGCAAAGGUGCUGUUGAAGAGCAAGCUGGCUUGCUCUGUGCUGUUUUGACACAAUCUCUCAGACAGAUCAGCAGUGUAAGUGCAGGGUGUGUGCUAAGGUGCUGGCGCAGAGAGCUGAGACCCUGUCAUGUCUGUUAUGCUUCCCGAGCCCACAGCAGUGAAACCCAAGGUUCAGAUACAAGGGCCAGGGGGUGCAGGCCAGCCCUGGACCCUGGUACCCCACAACAGGAAUGAGGCUACCAAUUAAAAAAUAUUUUUAAAUGCUAGAUCUUCCAGAGUACACUGUUUAAAAAGCUCUAUGCUCUUUAAUGAAAAGCAGUCCAGGACUGCAAAUGUCCAGUGUGGUCCCUGACAGUAUCAUGCAACCUCCAUGUGUCACAUGGCUAGAGCGAACACAGGGGAAGAAGAAAGUACACUGGUGCACACAGAAAACUCAUAGGAGUUUGACUUACUUACCUUGCACUUCUCUGCACUGAGUAAUGAUGAACAAGUAUGUGCCAAUCUAAGUAUGUACCAUAUUAUGAGGCAAAGCAAGUAUUCCUUCUACAUCACCUUUCCAAUCUGUGCACAGCCCUAAGACACAGAAACCCAGAGAGACCAAGCUCACAGACACAUGAAGCGGGAGAGGACGAAGCUGGGGCUCUGGAGCCACACGCCCUUCCCCCAAGACACCACUAUGCCGGUGCAUGCGCACACUGAGUCCACUGCACACAGUCAGGAUUCAGGCUCCCUCUCACAGGGGUGGAAGGUGGCCCCCCUGCUCCUCACCUCCACACCUGGUUUGGAGAUGGUGAGGACCAAGUGCCCAACCACAGGCUGUCGGGACACCAUGCCACUUCCUCUUUGUCAGCCUCCCUCCCAGCAGGAAGUGAACAGAGCUUGCCCCUCAGAGCUGCCCUCUGGUGCAGCUCUGACUGCAUAGCACCCCAAAGGGCAGAGGUGAGAGCGAGGAAGACAAGUGAAGGAAGAUAGGUGGACUUUAUAAGGAUGGCACCACCAUGCUGUUGUGAGGAGCAAAGAGCUUCUGCAAGGACCCCCCACAGUCCUGAUGGAGAAGCUCCCCUCAGGACUGUGGGGUCAUCUGGCUGGUGAACAGAAGGACCUGGGAGCCAUUAAGUUCCACUAGCUCAAAAACAUGAGCCAGGCUGGUCACCAGGCCAGGCCCCACCCCAUCUGUGUGCUGACCACUGAACUGAGCACUCUCAACUUCUGAAAAUGCAGCUGCUUACAGGGUGCUUCAAUACCCAGUAACAGAACCCACAAAGGGUGCCAAAGACCAUUUGGUUAGUAAGUAACACAGGCCCAGGGUCCAGCUAUGUUCCUUCUCAAUGCAGAAUCCUGUGUUCACCCGCGGGAGGCCCAGCAAUGGGGUAACCCAAGCUCAUAUCCAGAACCGUGACUGGUGGAGGACCUCUGAUAGGGGAGCACUUUCAGAAGGACUCCGGCUCAGAGGCACCAUCCCUGGCCACAUACCUAAACAGACCCCCUGCGGCACCACCCUCCCCAGACAUGUCCCAGUCUGAAACCACCCCACAAUGCAUGUCUAUGAUGGGUCCUUUCCCUGCAAGCUUGGAGAAUAGCUUCCACGUCACCCAGGCAGCGCCUUUCCCCAUUCACAUGGCACCCAGCAGCCGGGGCUAGCACUUGCCACAUUGCAAGUACUGAUUAAAUGAAUGAACCGUAAUAUAAGCUAUCUUUCUACACUGAACUGUCAAUCAAUUCUUAAACUGCAAAUUCAAAAUCUUCAGGCAAGGCGAGAUUAGUUUGGAGAUAAAAAGAACCAAAGAAGCCAAUCUUAUUUUCUCUCUUCUAAUUACAGGGCUCCCAGAUUCACUGUUCAAAGAAGAAAAAAAAAAGCAGAAAGGAGACAGGAUGGGGGCAGCAAACUUCAUCCCAAGCCUGGCACAGCUCCCAGGCCUGCAUGUACCAGAGUCCCUCUCACCAUCCAUUUCCAAACAGCCUUCCUCAAUCACUAAGUGCUCACUGCCCAGCACGGCCACAAUCUCCAUCUCACCAACACUCCUGCUUUCUGCUCUUUUUAUUUUAUUCUGGCAGUACUAGGGAUUGAACACAAGCUCUUACACUCGCUAGGCAGGUAUUCUACCAUGUGAACCAUGCCCCCAUGCUCCUUUUGGAGUUGUGUUUUUCAAGGAAAACUUUUAAGUCUACCUAAGCAGGCCUGGCCACAAUUCUUCUACUCGUGUUUCCCCAAGAUGACAGGCCUGCCACCACUGCGCCAAGCCAUUUGUUGAAACUUCCUGAACUUUUUUGGUCUGGAACCUUGGUUCCCAGAUCUCUACCUCUCAAGUGGCUAGGAUUAUAGAUGUGAGUCACUAUGUCCACAGCUGUUCUCAUUUUUUAAUGAGAAACAAAGUGUGAAGAGGCACGGCUCUUUCUCCCACCCAGCUGGGGUGACUAAGCCAAAGGAGUCCUCAAGUCCCUGCUGAUCUGAUCUGAGAUGUCGGCCUGCACCGUCCUUGCCACCAGGAGGCACCAGACAGGGUCUGGACCUCAUCCAGGGCUCCGUGCUUGUCACUAUUAAUUUGUUUGCUUUACAAAUAUACAAUAAGAGCUUCAGAUGCAAGUGGUUUAAAAAGCAAUCAAGGUCAAGGACUCAUUGCUGAGAGUAAACAACUAGCAGAUAAAAGCUUUGAAGAGUUCUAUGUUACCCUGUGUGCAGCCAAAACCUGGGAAGAUUGUCAGACGUCUAUUCUUUCCCCCAAAGAUUGUGAGGGCCUCAGGGGCAAUAUUUUCAGAACCCAUGACAAUACCAGACAUACCUGAUUGCUCAGCAAAUGUUCCCAGAGGAUGGAUGGAUGUACAGACAUUCAAAUGGAGAGAUGGAUGAAUAUCUAGGCUAAAGGAAGGAAGGGAAGGGAAGGGAGGGAGGAAAGUAAGAAAAUGACUCCAUUUACUAAGAAUGGACACUUACUUUCUCCCUAAGCAUUGGGGCUACUUGGACAACAUACAUACAAAGACAAAUCCACAGGGCCAUUUGCUGCAGCAUCAGUUUCAGAAGUGCAAGCUGAAAACAAGUGAGAAACAAUUACAUAAAACAGGCAGGCAGAGUCGGACUGUUCGUCUACUGAAAGAACCAUGUGUGUCUCUUUGCCCAAAG